rnacentral:lncRNA from 14 species
UGAGCAGUUCCAGAACCUCACAUGAUUAUUGUCAGGGUUUUAAGACCUUAAUUAUAAGUCUUAGUUUGGGACAAAUGAUAUCGCAGUAGUGUGGCUUCAUUCACACUAUUUACCUUUAGAUUUCACCACGUUAGCGUGACUUGAGAGCCAGCACUGCAUUUUUGUAUAUAGAAACACCGCCGGUCAUGGAGCUCCAUCUGAGCGAGCUGUGGCAGCGCAGCCUGGAUCUGUCCCAGGAGCGGCCAAGGCAGGAGGAGAAGCGGCGGCUCCGGGAGCUGCGGGCAGGAACCAGCAGGAAGCAGAAGGAAGCGCUGCUCGCGGAGGGAUGUGAUGGAUGUGAUGGUGCUGGCCGGGGCCGGCAGAAGCCGCAGCUGUGCCCGCACCCAGCGGGCACCGGCAGGACACUGCAGGGGAAGCGAGCGGACAAGUGCAGGUGGGCAGCAGAGAAGGAGCUGAAGAAGGAACGAGCUUUGUUCAACCAAAGGAAAAAACACCCAAAAACGUACCAUAUGCACCUGAUAACAUCAGUCACCACACCGUGA